rnacentral:rRNA from 1 species
UGGGGAAUAUUGCACAAUGGGCGCAAGCCUGAUGCAGCCAUGCCGCGUGUAUGAAGAAGGCCUUCGGGUUGUAAAGUACUUUCAGUCGGGAGGAAGGUGGUAAGGUUAAUAACCUUAUCAAUUGACGUUACCGACAGAAGAAGCACCGGCUAACUCCGUGCCAGCAGCCGCGGUAAUACGGAGGGUGCAAGCGUUAAUCGGAAUUACUGGGCGUAAAGCGCACGCAGGCGGUUGAUUGAGUCAGAUGUGAAAUCCCCGGGCUUAACCCGGGAAUUGCAUCUGAUACUGGUCAGCUAGAGUCUUGUAGAAGGGGGUAGAAUUCCAUGUGUAGCGGUGAAAUGCGUAGAGAUGUGGAGGAAUACCGGUGGCGAAGGCGGCCCCCUGGACAAAGACUGACGCUCAGGUGCGAAAGCGUGGGGAGCAAACAGG